CGGGGUGUAGCGCAGCUUGGUAGCGCGCUUCGUUCGGGACGAAGAGGUCGUGGGUUCGAAUCCCGCCACCCCGA
rfam:Streptomonospora alba strain YIM 90003 contig_17, whole genome shotgun sequence.